rnacentral:lncRNA from 1 species
UUUGAGCAUCAUGAAAAUAUAGGAAUAACCCUUAAAUUUUGGUCUGUUAUGCUGAAACGAGGAUAUGGCACCAUGCAAGCGAGAGCAGUAAGGUGGCUUCUGCAGGUUGCGGCUGAGAUUUUCAGCACAAGAAGAGGCUGGGCACCUUUGAGACUUAGAAUAGCAGGGUGAGAUGGAGUUUUAUGGAGCACUAAGGUAGAUACAGUUGCGGUACUGUAUUUUGAGUAGUAUUUCUGGUUCAUCAGUUUUGGUAUUGGGAUUGGUGGCUCUGGCGUGUCGUGAUUUUGGGUUGCUAUUUACCCAUAUUCGUGUAAUAAGUAGUUGGCUGUAUAGAGUUCUGUAGUUGGAUGUCGAGUUCUUGUUGCGGUUGUGAGGUGUUUUGUGUCUACUAAUUUAAAAUCAUGGCUGAUCCUUGUGACCAGAACCUGAAAAGUUGCUUUGUAUUACCAAUUUCAUUGCUGCAAAUGAAAUUGGGAGCGGGCAGCUCCUAAAGUCGAAAAAAUGUUGUUCAUGUUGUGCUAUGAUCUACACCAAUCGUUGAUUUGUGUGCCAGGCCACCACCACGGUCGCACCCGUGUCUCCGCUCCAUUUAAUCACAUCGUCCUACGAUGCACACAUCAUAAGUCUAGGAAGUGAUACUGGUAAGACAAUUAGAAUCACAUUUUUAAUCCUAUCACAUGCGCAAUGUAAUCAAUGGUUAAUUUGCUAUCUCAGGUUCAAGAGUUUCUUGGUCAGCUCUGGUCAUUGGGAUCCCAUGGAUGCCAGCAAUGCAUGCAAUCAAUAAACAUAUUUGAUCAUGUCUUCUCGAACCAGUGAGCCUCCCAAGAUGAAGUCAAUAAACUGGAGCACUCCAAUCUAUCUGCCACUUAGCCCCUGAAACCAGCAUGACUACUAGCCAACUACACUCAAAUCAUAAAACUCUACAAUCUACUUUAACUAUCUCACAUGGUAUAGUACUAGCGAGCAAAGUUUUUCAGUUGUUCACUAAACUACAGUUAUUUUUUAAACCCAAAUCAUCCUAUUGUUGCAUAGAUGUAAAGUACAUAUCUGGUAGCUUACGAUUGUUCAAAAGACUAAGACCAUGAUCGUUCCUAAAUUUGAGAUUUCAUUUUGAAUUAUUUGGUAGUAUUAAUUGUUUUGUUCUGCUUCAGCUCACUCUUAAAUAUUGGCAAUUCGUGUCCAG